rnacentral:rRNA from 1 species
UACAGAGGUCUCAAGCGUUGUUCGGAUUCAUUGGGCGUAAAGGGUGCGUAGGCGGCGCGGUAAGUCGGGUGUGAAAUCUCGGAGCUUAACUCCGAAACUGCAUUCGAUACUGCCGUGCUUGAGGACUGGAGAGGAGACUGGAAUUUACGGUGUAGCGGUGAAAUGCGUAGAUAUCGUAAGGAAGACCAGUGGCGAAGGCGGGUCUCUGGACAGUUCCUGACGCUGAAGCACGAAGGCCAGGGGAGCAAACGGGG